UCGUGUAAAAUGACAAGUCAAUCAAGUCUGAUCCUAUUUUAAUUUGAAUCAUGGAAAAUGAUCAAUUGAAUGUUUCUUGAAGAUCGGGGGGGGGGAGUUAAAGGGGGGAAACAUGCACAGUAAAAAUACGACCUAAAUGUCAGUAGGAAACAAACAGAACUCACAAGGGUGACCAGCUAUGUUUUAACUCCAUACUACGGAGCAGUGUUUUGGAUCAGGCCAGAUCUGCUGAGAGGACAAGUCCAGGAAGCAGGGCAAGCAAACUCACCUCUCACAGAAGGUGUGCAAGCAGGGCAGCACUUUGGGGUUCUGGUAGCGGUCCAGACAUAUACUGCAGAUCAGGAACUGCUUGUCAAUCUGCCGGACCACAGGACUGGGAAUCGUGGCCAUCCUCGAACUCUGACACACAAGUCCUCCUUCCUCCUGGGCACCCUGAGGACAGACGCACAGCGGCCGGGUUCAUAUGAGAGCCUGCACCAACCCCGACCCCAACAGAUCCAGGAAGCCAGCGGGAUAGAGUCAACACUCAAUGACGUCUUCUUCCUCACAAGAAACGGCGCCGAUCAGGGCAAGACAACAAAGGCGUGCACAUCCCAAAUAAUCCCAAAUAUGACGCCUCAGUCCGCAAAUCCCAGCAGCAGCGAUGCGACGGGGGAGAAGUCGACUGAAGAGACGGGCUGUGUUUUUGUCUGUGGGAAUCACACUGCAGCGUCAGGAGUGACCCAGCGUGUUCUGGCUCCCACAGAAUUAAAGGGGACCCC